GCAUAUCAAUAAGCGGAGGAAAAGAAAAUAACAAUGAUUCCCCUAGUAACUGCGAGUGAAGAGGGAUAAGCUCAAAUUUUAAAUCUGUUAGGUUUUACCUGACCGAAUUGUAAUUUGAAGAAACGUUUUCGCGAGUGCUUGUCGGCCCAAGUCCUUUGGGAUGAGGCAUCAUGGAGGGUGACAAUCCCGUACGGCCGUCAUUGCUCGUAUACGAUACGUUUUCAAAGAGUCAAGUUGUUUGGGAUUGCAGCUUAAAAUGGGAGGUAAAUUUCUCCUAAGGCUAAAUAUUGGCGAGAGACCGAUAGCGAACAAGUACCGUGAGGGAAAGAUGAAAAGAACUUUGAAAAGAGAGUUAAACAGUACGUGAAAUUGUUGAAAGGGAAACGAUUGAAGUCAGUCGUACUAACGGGAAAUCAACCUUUUUGAGUCGUAAAUUUUGGAUUUUGAAGAGUUUAAACCUUCGGGUUCAAAUAUUUGCGCUUUUUAGGCGUAAUUUCUCGUUCGGUAGGUUAACAUCGAUUUUGAACAUUAUAAAAUGAUCGGAGGAAUGUAGCUUCGAUCUCGUAUUGAAGUGUUAUAGCCUUUGGUAGAUGUAAUGAUCGAGAUCGAGGAUUGCAACGAAUACCCUUUUGGGCUAUCCGUCUGAUCUCUGAUACGUUGCCUCGGUAACGAAAGCGUGCUUACGGUAUUGAGGUAUUACGGUCAAAAGGUUAGAACGUGAUUACAUUCGUUAAGGAUGUUGACGUA
rnacentral:rRNA from 1 species